rnacentral:rRNA from 1 species
CCUACGGGUGGCAGCAGUGGGGAAUUGUUCGCAAUGGGCGCAAGCCUGACGACGCAACGCCGCGUGGAGGAUGAAGAUCUUCGGGUUGUAAAGCACUGUCGAGGGGGAGAAAAGCCCGCAAGGGUCUGAUCUAUCCCUGGAGGAAGCACGGGCUAAGUUCGUGCCAGCAGCCGCGGUAAGACGAACCGUGCGAACGUUGUUCGGAAUCACUGGGCUUAAAGGGCGCGUAGGCGGGCAUUCAAGUCGGUGGUGAAAUCCUCCAGCUUAACUGGAGAAGAGCUGUCGAUACUGGGUGCCUCGAGGGGUGCAGGGGUCUGCGGAACUUCGGGUGGAGCGGUGAAAUGCGUAGAGAUCCGAAGGAACGCCGGUGGCGAAAGCGGCGGACUGGGCACCUUCUGACGCUGAGGCGCGAAAGCCAGGGGAGCAAACGGGAUUAGAUA